GACGAACGCUGGCGGCGUGCCUAAUACAUGCAAGUAGAACGCUGAAGAGAGGAGCUUGCUCUUCUUGGAUGAGUUGCGAACGGGUGAGUAACGCGUAGGUAACCUGCCUUGUAGCGGGGGAUAACUAUUGGAAACGAUAGCUAAUACCGCAUAACAAUGGAUGACACAUGUCCUUUAUUUGAAAGGGGCAAUUGCUCCACUACAAGAUGGACCUGCGUUGUAUUAGCUAGUAGGUGAGGUAACGGCUCACCUAGGCGACGAUACAUAGCCGACCUGAGAGGGUGGUCGGCCACACUGGGACUGAGACACGGCCCAGACUCCCACGGGAGGCAGCCGUAGGGAAUCUUCGGCAAUGGGGGCAACCCUGACCGCGCAACGCCGCGUGAGUGAAGAAGGUUUUCGGAUCGUAAAGCUCGGUUGUAAGUCAAGAACGAGUGUGAGAGUGGAAAGUUCACACUGUGACGGUAGCUUACCAGAAAGGGACGGCUAACUACGUG
rnacentral:rRNA from 1 species